UCUUUCUUAAAGAACACCAUUAUCGAAAUGAUGUCAUAUGGCUGGUUUUAAAAGUUUUCUGCAUGAUGUAUUGUGAAAUUCAAAACAAUUUUUAAAAGAAUAUUAUAAGCUUGUUAGUAAAACUCAUUUGUAUAUGUGACAAUUCUCUUUUAGCCCUGAAAGACUAUUUGCGCAGAUGCCAGUUACUUAACAAAUUUGAAGUAUUAGGAUAAGGCACAUUAUAAAUGUAGUGUUUUUCCAAAUUGAGUUGUGAUUCUAAUAGGCAAUGUAAUAGCUCUUGAAAUUCGAAUUAUUUUAUAAUAUUAACUGUAUGCAUAAAUUCGGAUUAAAUAUUUUGUGGUAUUAACUGUAUGUAUAAUUUCUUUAUAGUGAAUGAAUAUAAAAAAGCAGCAAGGCACACCUCUUAAUUUAUUUCCCAGCCCAAAGCACUUUCCCUAUCAUCUGUACAAAAAGUAGUGGUAGGGCAGUGCAGGAGCUUGCAGUCAGAUUUCCUUGGAUUGGUUUCCAGGUCCUACUAUUUACUUGCUAAAUGACUGUAGGCAGGUGUGUUCAUUGUCAUAAUCAAAGUAUCUCUGCCCUUAAACACAAAAAGAAGAUGAAUACAGACCAUUUUGUGUUCUCUGAAGGAAAUAAAGAUGAGUAAUUGGCGUACACAA
rnacentral:lncRNA from 10 species